AAUCCGUGAUGUAAGUGACAUCUCAAAAGAUCUUUAAACCUCUCCAUUACAUCGUACAUGCUUUCAUCACCGUGCAUAAAGAAGAUAUGUCAUUUCUAAGUUU